rnacentral:rRNA from 1 species
ACUGUAACGGGAGGCAGCAGUGAGGAAUAUUGGUCAAUGGACGAGAGUCUGAACCAGCCAAGUAGCGUGCAGGAUGACUGCCCUAUGGGUUGUAAACUGCUUUUAUGCGGGGAUAAAGUGGGGAACGUGGUUCUCUAUUGCAGUGGUACCGCAUGAAUAAGGACCGGCUAAUUCCGUGCCAGCAGCCGCGGUAAUCAGU